ACGAGUUAGGGUCUUCCAGGCCCGACCUCCCAACCCUAUGUUUAUUGAACCUCUGUUGCUUCGGCGGACCCGUCUCACGGCCGCCGGAGGACCGCUGAAAGGCGUCCUCUGGCCAGCGUCCGCCGAUAGCCAACCACUUAAACUUCUGAAUGAAUCGUGUCUUAUGUCUGAGUCUAUGAUUAAAUAAAAAGCA
rnacentral:misc_RNA from 1 species